AGUUUGAUCCUGGCUCAGGACGAACGCUGGCGGGGUGCUUAACACAUGCAAGUCGAACGAUGAAGCCUUUCGGGGUGGAUUAGUGGCGAACGGGUGAGUAACACGUGGGCAAUUUGCCCUUCACUCUGGGACAAGCCCUGGAAACGGGGUCUAAUACCGGAUAACACUCUGUCCCGCAUGGGACGGGGUUAAAAGCUCCGGCGGUGAAGGAUGAGCCCGCGGCCUAUCAGCUUGUUGGUGGGGUAAUGGCCUACCAAGGGACGACGGGUAGCCGGCCUGAGAGGGUGACCGGCCACACUGGGACUGAGAC
rnacentral:rRNA from 1 species